rnacentral:rRNA from 1 species
CUGAAAUUCGACUACAUGAAUAAGGAAUUACUAGUAAUCGUGAAUCAGCACGUCACGGUGAAUUUAAUCUCAGAUGGGUACUAACUACUCGUCAGGCGCUGAAAGGGGUAUGCGCAAUAAGUUUGGUUGCUUGUUGUUGUGUUAUAUGCAAACGUAGCUGUAUAUUAUUCAAUUUGUAAUUUUCGUAUGCGUGAUCUCAAUUGGUGUUAAGUCGAAAUAUGGUUCGUGUAAUGGAAAUUGCAC